ACCCUGCUGACGCGUCCCAAACAGGACGAAAUAGCUGUCCAGUGU
rnacentral:hammerhead_ribozyme from 1 species